rnacentral:lncRNA from 1 species
GGUUGAUCGAUAAGGACGGCAAUGAUAUGAGCUUGGAAGUAUGGCCAUAAUUUUUUAGAUGAUAUCAUGAGAGCAUAGGCCAUCUUCUCAAGUUUAUGUACCUGAUCUCGACAUCAUGGAGCAUCCGGCUAACGUAGUAGAUUGGCUUUUGCACCUUGACUUUCUGGCAAAUGAGGAUGGAGCUAAUUACGAAGGUGAAAAUAGCAAGAUAUAAGUACAAUACUUCUUUGGAUUCUGGCUUGUUGAAGAGUGGAGGUGAGUCGAGGUAUUUCGUUAGGUCGUCAAAUGCAACUUGACACUCUUCC